rnacentral:rRNA from 1 species
CAGCCGCCGCGGUAAUACGAGGGGGGCAAGCGUUGUUCGGAUUUAUUGGGCGUAAAGGGUGCGUAGGCGGUUUGGCAAGUCUUGUGUGAAAUCUAUGGGCUCAACCCAUAGCCUGCACGAGAAACUACCGGGCUUGAGUGAUGGAGAGGUGAGUGGAAUUUCCGGUGUAGCGGUGAUAUGCGUAGAUAUCGGAAGGAACACCUGUGGCGAAAGCGGCUCACUGGACAUUAACUGACGCUGAUGCACGAAAGCUAGGGGAGCAAACAGGAUUAGAUACCCCCGUAGUCCCUGUCUCUUAUAC